GUAUGGAUCCUGCACCAUGACAAUGCUUCAAUACAAAAGGAACUAGUCUCAUAUAGUCCUGACCNGUGCUUGGGCGAGAGUAGUACUAGGAUGGGUGACCCCCUGGGAAGUCCUCGUGUUGCAUCCC
rnacentral:rRNA from 1 species